rnacentral:misc_RNA from 1 species
GCUCCGUAGGUGAACCUGCGGAAGGAUCAUUAUUGGAUUUUGAAACUUCAGGCUGCUGCUGGCUCUCCUCGGAGGGCAUGUGCACGCUUGUUGUCCAUUAUUUCUCCCACUGUGCACAAAUUGUAGACCUUUCAGUAGGCCUAUGUUGUUUUUCACAAUCUCUGAAUGUAAUAGAAUGGUUUUGAAUCUUGGGAAAUACAAUACAACUUUCAGCAACGGAUCUCUUGGCUCUC